UACGUAGGGGGCGAGCGUUGUCCGGAUUUAUUGGGCGUAAAGCGCGUGUAGGCGGCCAGAAAAGUCCGCUGUGAAAACUCGAGGCUCAACUUCGAGCUGUCGGUGGAAACUUUCUGGCUAGAGUCCGGAAGAGGAGAAUGGAAUUCCUGGUGUAGCGGUGAAAUGCGCAGAUAUCAGGAGGAACACCAAUUGCGAAGGCAGCUCGCUGGGACGUUACUGACGCUGAGACGCGAAAGCGUGGGGGAGCAAACAGG
rnacentral:rRNA from 1 species